AACGUAGGAGGCGAGCGUUAUCCGGAUUUACUGGGUGUAAAGCGCGUGCAGGCGGUUGGCUAAGUUGGGUGUGAAAGCUCCUGGCUCAACUGGGAGAGGGCGCUCAAGACUGGCCGACUGGAGAGCAGUAAGGGAAGGUGGAAUUCCGGGUGUAGUGGUGAAAUGCGUAGAUAUCCGGAGGAACACCAGUGGCGAAGGCGGCCUUCUGGACUGCUUCUGACGCUCAGACGCGAAAGCUAGGGGAGCAAACGGG
rnacentral:rRNA from 1 species